rnacentral:rRNA from 1 species
GACGAACGCUGGCGGCGUGCUUAACACAUGCAAGUCGAACGGAAAGGCCUGCUUUCCCUUGUGGAUUGCGGGUACUCGAGUGGCGAACGGGUGAGUAACACGUGAGUGAUCUGCCCCCAACUUGGGUAUAAGCCUGGGAAACUGGGUCUAAUUCCCGAUAGGACUGCAGGGUGGUGCCUGUGGUGGAAAACGAUUUUCUAGUGGUUGGGGAUGAGCUCGCGGCCUAUCAGCUUGUUGGUGGGGUAAUGGCCUACCAAGGCGGCGACGGGUAGCCGGCCUGAGAGGGUGGACGGCCACAUUGGGACUGAGAUACGGCCCAGACUCCUACGGGAGGCAGCAGUGGGGAAUAUUGCACAAUGGGAGGAAGCCUGAUGCAGCGACGCCGCGUGGGGGAUGACGGCCUUCGGGUUGUAAACUCCUUUCCACCGCGAGGAAGCCACCUGGUUGGAAGGGUGGUGACGGUAGUGGUAGAAGAAGCACCGGCUAACUACGUG